GAAGUUGGCUGGAUGACUGAUCCGACGUACGUCGGAUAGGAAAGUCCGAACACUGUUCCGAGCAAUCGGAUCAGAGGCAGUCGCGAAAGGCGACGGGGAGUAAGGAUGGGGCGACCUCUCGAGAUCGUUCGAUCCCCAAGCCCACGGAGAGUGCAACAGAAAACACACCGCCGAACGGCCGGGCGCAAGCUCGGCGCGUGGCAAGGUUGAAAUCGUGAGGUAAGAGCUCACGCGGGACAGUCGGGCGACCGACGCCGUGGAAAACACCUGCCCGGUGCAAGGCCAAGUUUGGUAGGCCGCCAAGAGAGAUGGUCAUCACGAGUGGAGGUUGGAGAUAAGAGGUUGGAGGUUGGAGCGCAAAGGCCACACUUCUAAUUUCUCAUCUCUAACUUCCCUUAUGACAGAAUUCGGCUUAUAGGCCAGCUUCGGAG
rnacentral:RNase_P_RNA from 1 species